AUUGAACGCUGGCGGCAGGCCUAACACAUGCAAGUCGAGCGGAUGAAGGGAGCUUGCUCCUGGAUUCAGCGGCGGACGGGUGAGUAAUGCCUAGGAAUCUGCCUGGUAGUGGGGGAUAACGUCCGGAAACGGGCGCUAAUACCGCAUACGUCCUGAGGGAGAAAGUGGGGGAUCUUCGGACCUCACGCUAUCAGAUGAGCCUAGGUCGGAUUAGCUAGUUGGUGGGGUAAAGGCCUACCAAGGCGACGAUCCGUAACUGGUCUGAGAGGAUGAUCAGUCACACUGGAACUGAGACACGGUCCAGACUCCUAAGGGAGGCAGCAGUGGGGAAUAUUGGACGAUGGGCGAAAGCCUGAUCCAGCCAUGCCGCGUGUGUGAAGAAGGUCUUCGGAUUGUAAAGCACUUUAAGUUGGGAGGAAGGGCAGUAAGUUAAUACCUUGCUGUUUUGACGUUACCAACAGAAUAAGCACCGGCUAACUUCGUG
rnacentral:rRNA from 1 species